GGUGUGUAUCGGGUGACUGCUCGGUCGUAGUUUUCUUUUUUAGAAAACUGGGGCUGGGAGGAAAGUCCGAACUCGGCCCCGCCUUUGGCGGGGAGCAAGGUAGCAGGUAACGCCUGUCUGGAGCAAUCCAAGGGGUGCGAGCAGAGACGCCAAGAGUCGAGAGGCUCGUGGCAUCCAGUCGUAGAGAAUUAAAAGGUUCUGACAUAAAAGGGGUCAGACCCCCUAGAUUUAAGGGGUUAGACCCCUUUUAUUUCACCAGAACCUUUUAAUUCUCUACGACUGGUUGAGUCCUCGCGGUAACGCGAGGGUUGAAACGGCAAAAUCCCUACCCCCGAGCAAGGCCGUGUUCCAAACUGUUUUCGAAUGGUUUGGAGAGUGCCGCUAGAGGUGGUCGGCGACGAUCAUCCCAGAUAAAUGGUCUCCACCCAGCCUUUGGCUGGGUACAGAAUUCGGCUUAUAGAUACACGCCAUUA
rnacentral:RNase_P_RNA from 1 species